CAGCAGCCGCGGUAAUACGUAGGGUGCAAGCGUUAAUCGGAAUUACUGGGCGUAAAGCGUGCGCAGGCGGUUCGCUAAGAAAGAUGUGAAAUCCCCGGGCUUAACCUGGGAACUGCAUUUGUGACUGGCGGGCUAGAGUAUGGCAGAGGGGGGUAGAAUUCCACGUGUAGCAGUGAAAUGCGUAGAGAUGUGGAGGAAUACCGAUGGCGAAGGCAGCCCCCUGGGCCAAUACUGACGCUCAUGCACGAAAGCGUGGGGAGCAAACAGGAUUAGAUACCCGCGUAGUCCCUGUCUCUUAUAC
rnacentral:rRNA from 1 species